GUUGGCCCAAAACAAUAAAAUACAAAUAAAAAAAAUAAAAAUCUUUCCAAAUACCUCGCCUAGAUCAAAAAAAAAAAAAAAAAAUUUUUUCGAAUUUUUACUUAAUUAGCUUAAUUUUGUAGCUAUUUAUUCUUAUAUUUUUAAAAGAUAUGAAUAUUUAUGCUAAUAGCAUAAAUCUUGAGAGAAAAAAAUUUAAUUUAAUAGCCGAAUUUUUUAUCCCGAAUUUUUAAUUAGUAAACGUAUAAUAUCCGUAUAAAUCACGUAUCCGAAUAAUUGAUAAAUCCGUUUUUUAGCCGUAUUUUUCAACGAAUUUAAAAAUUCGAAGACGAAUUUUAUCCGAAUUAUACCCGUACCGAAUUUUUGCCGAAUCCGAAUUAACUAACUAUGG
rnacentral:lncRNA from 1 species